GUCAGUUCAGAGAUGCCCUUGUGGUCCCCCAAGAACAGGCGGGGCUGAAAUAAGGACAGAUGGCUCUCAGGGAUGACUCUCACGAUGAUGCAUAGAAAUUAACAGGACAAGAAAUUUUAAAAAUCAAAUAGAGACACAUUAAAGGAGAGGAUCAUUUACGCAUGAGCCAAUCGAUCUACAACUAGCGGCUUGCUGAAUUUGCGUUCAAUGUCAGGCGUGCGCGCGCGUGUCAGCCAAUCUACUGAACCCGGAAGUUGUGGCCAAGAGGAAACCUUGAAAAUGUCUUGAUGCAGGCUGGAUAUGGAAACGCAGGGAUGCUCACACUGAGGAAAUGAAAUAAUUCCUGAUGUGAAUUUGUUGACUUCAGCAAUUACACCAGUGAUGAAGCUGGGUCAAAAAAAAUGUUCAGCUAUGCCAUGGUGUGCCUUAAUGGGAAUCAAAAGUAGGCCUAAGGUAGAAAUGUGAAAAACUCUGUUCUCUAUGUGAAAUAAGAAGUGUCCUAAAGGCAUAGUAAGCAUCAGUUUGCUGUUCUGCAAAGAGAUCAAUGAAGCCAAUAUGCCUGCUUUUGCUAAAGGAUGCUGAAAGAGUGCCUGUUUUUCGUAUAAACCAAGAAUACACAGUGACAAAAAUAAAAGUUUCUUCAAUUUUGGAAUAAACUCAGACGGUUGACUGUU